rnacentral:ncRNA from 1 species
AUGAUUCUUAGUUAAUCUUCAUUCAACCAUGGGUUGUUUUUGUUAUGCAAAAAAAUAAGUAAAACUUAGGUUGAAUAAACUUAAGUUUUUUUAUUUUAGUUAAGAAAAAUAGACAAGUGGUGGUAGUCCGCCACUCUAAGGGGACGCCUUUAGAAGAAGAGGCUAGGAGAGGUAUUCCGGUGUGGGAUAUCUAGUAAUAUGCAGCGCUAAAUGCAUAAGAUUGUAGGACGGAAUUUACAGUCUUGGUUUUUUAAACCUGAAACUAGAUAAGC